rnacentral:rRNA from 1 species
AACGAACGCUGGCGGCAUGCCUAACACAUGCAAGUCGAACGAGACCUUCGGGUCUAGUGGCGCACGGGUGCGUAACGCGUGGGAACCUGCCCUUAGGUUCGGAAUAACUCCCCGAAAGGGGUGCUAAUACCGGAUAAUGUCUUCGGACCAAAGAUUUAUCGCCUUUGGAUGGGCCCGCGUUGGAUUAGCUAGUUGGUAGGGUAAAAGCCUACCAAGGCGACGAUCCAUAGCUGGUCUGAGAGGAUGAUCAGCCACACUGGGACUGAGACACGGCCCAGACUCCUACGGGAGGCAGCAGUGGGGAAUAUUGGACAGUGGGCGAAAGCCUGAUGCAGCAAUGCCGCGUGAGUGAUGAAGGCCUUAGGGUUGUAAAGCUCUUUUACCCGGGAUGAUAAUGACAGUACCGGGAGAAUAAGCUCCGGCUAACUCCGUG